CGGCUCUCCAUCUCCGCGUUUCUGCCUUCCUUUGCCCAAGCCGCCCAGGAUCCCCCAGGGGAUUAGCUCAAUGGUCACCCGAUCAUAGAAUCACAGAAAUAUAGGAACUGGGGGCAGAAAGAGAUAUCAAAGUUCAGCUAGUCCUAAGCGUGGUCCCGGGACCAGCAGCGUUGGCAUCGCCUGGGAGCUGGGUAGAAAUGCAGAGUCUCAGGCCCCACUGUGGACCCGCUGAGUCAAGAUCUGCAUUCGAAUAAGGUCCCUGGCUAAUUCGUGUGAGCACUGAAGGAUGAGAAGUGAGUCCCUGCAGCCCCCUGACCAGCUGCCCCCGGGCCUCUGCCCUCCUCCUUCCCUAGUGGCCUGGCCCAUUUCUUAGGGCAUGGCCGGAAAACUCCCCCGUCUAAGGAGCUGAAACUGGAGUCACUAUAGCUUCCUUGGAUCCAUUUACAACAGGCUUGAUGGCUUACCCAUCAACCAGGGCGGGCCCUCCUGCCAUUUUUGAGUUGAGCUGCUGAGAUUGUUCGUGGAAAGAUAGCGUCAAUGGAGGGCCAGGAGGCUGCUGGAAGCCCCCAGGAGCAGAGGAAGGGAGGUGGGAGACAGCUCCAGAACCGCGCAUACCUGAUUAGACCCAGUCACGGUGGAAUCUUUAGCUGGUGUUCUUUGAAGGAGAGAAAGGCGAUUAUAUCCAUUUUACAGAUCAGUAAAAAGAAACACAGAGAGACUGACACCAGGCUCAGAGGCUAUGGAGCUGGAGUUGGAACCCGGAAGCUGGGCCUGCAAGGCUGUCGUUCUGGCCAAUAGGAAUGGGUCGUCAUCCUUUGUCAUCAAUUAUCUGAGACAGAUUCUGAAACUGAGCAGUUGCCCAGAGACUGCCGUUACAUCAACUCCAAGAUGCACAUGAGAUGGAAAUAGAGACGGAAUGGGAGCAUAUACCACACUUUACCCACCAGAGAUGCAACACAUUUUCCUAGUUGAAAUUUACAUAGUUCUUUAUUCAUGAAAUUAUAAACAGCUGCUAUUUUGCUGCAUUCUCAAGAAGAUUUGAAAAGGCAGCAAAGAAGAGAACAGACACGUUAGGCAAACUCCAUCUGCCCCUCGUGUCUAACACUUUUUUCCCUGCAGAUAGCAGACAAUGGGGUUACCAGAUGUCAUAGCCUGCUUGGGAAGGACCCAGGAAUUUUGUGUGACCGUCGGCCAGCCAGCACAGGCGAUGCCUCUUUUUCUCUCUGAAAAUUAUAAGUGGGCCCACUCCCGUCCGCUUCCCAAUGGCUGUUCUAAGACACCAGCUCUUCCCAAAGGAAUGCUGACAGUGGAGGAUUCGGGGGGAACUUCAGAAAUGUCACUCCAGUCCAGACCAACGUCCUCUCGCCCUGGCUGCCUCCUGACUUUUGAAGCAGGCUUUACAAUUGUUUUGAUUGUUAAAGAGAUGGAGCACAGGCAACCGGUUCACUAUGAGGGGCCACUUUCUGGUGGGGAGUCAGCAGGCACCCAGCUGGCACCCGUCGUGCAAGGAAGAGGGUGGGAUCCACUUCCAGAGGUAGGCUUUCGAGGACACCACCAGGGAGAAGCCACACCGGAGCCUGUUCUUCCUCGGUCACCCCCAGAUGUUGCAGCCCAGGAGCAGCUGGGCGGGGCCUUGAUGCCAGGAGCGUCUGCGUGUCCUGAGCCCUCUUCCUUCCUCCAGGAGGUCCCGUUUCUGCUGCGGCCCACUGAUCUCAGUGGCUCCACGGGGCUGCCCCAGUGACAGUCUCUCCCCAGCAGGAGCUGGAGAUCCUACCCCUUGGAUGGGAACAAAAUUAGGGAACAGUUGAAUUAAAGUUCAUUCUUACUAUCCC
ensembl:lncRNA